rnacentral:lncRNA from 1 species
UGUAUCUUCUCUAAAUUUCAAUCACAAAUUUUGCCAUAACAAAUCCCGUGAAAUUGGGAAUUUGAUUUCCAUAUAACUUGUUUCACAAUCAAUAAUAUAUAUACACCCACAUAACUCCUUCACCCACAUCUUAUUUCUCGAACCACACCCUCAACCGUUCCGUUACCAUGAACCACCACUCGCCUACAACUAUGACAACCGCCACAUAUCCACCACUCACCACCACACAUAGCCACACCGUGACCGCAACAGCUUUAUCGUGGCCACCAUCACUCCCAAACCAGAUUGUUGUCACCUUCAGUUACCGUCACCAAUGACGCCGUAUUGGUUUGUGCUUGAUUGCCGCAAUACAUUACCGUCAUCCGAGCACCAAUACCCUUGUUGUGAAACGUUUGGUCACUGCUUGCAUUUCCCAUAGAUGACCCU